rnacentral:lncRNA from 1 species
AUGCAAGUAUGCAAUUUGUUGGGGAUAUUUGGUUGUGCAUGUAGGAAUGUGAAUGAUUUUUAUCUUAUUGAAAUUCCCAUUUUAUGGGAGUAUUAUGCAUGAGUAUGUUGAUGACUGGUACGACUGUGUUUUUUUUUUAAUUUUCUGUUUGGUAGGAAAACCAUGUAUGGAUGAUUCGUGUGAUUUGGGAAUGCAACUGGGUAAUUGGAUGUUUUUGUAGGGUUUAA